CGUUGCCUACGGGACGCAGCAGUGAGGAAUAUUGGUCAAUGGGAGAGAUCCUGAACCAGCCAAGCCGCGUGAGGGAAGACGGCCCUCGGGUUGUAAAGCUCUUUAAUCAGGGACGAAGAAUGACGGUACCUGAAGAAUAAGCUCCGGCUAACUACGUGCCAGCAGCCGCGGUAAUACGUAGGGAGCAAGCGUUAUCCGGAUUUACUGGGUGUAAAGGGCGUGUAGGCGGGCCUGCAAGUCAGAAGUGAAAUCUGGGGGCUUAACCCCCAAACUGCUUUUGAAACUGGGGGUCUUGAGUGAUGGAG
rnacentral:rRNA from 1 species